rnacentral:sRNA from 12 species
GCUCUUUGACAUAUUGUGUAAGACGCUAUUAAAUGAUGCUUGAAUAAUAAUAAAGUGAUUAACCAAUAGCUUGUAGCCCUAGACUCAUUGUGCUAGGGGCUUGGGGCUGACUUACAUUGAAGUCGGCACAUCGUGGAGCGACACCACCUGCAAGCAC